rnacentral:rRNA from 1 species
AUGCACGCUGGCGGCGUGCCUAAUACAUGCAAGUCGAGCGCACAGACGAGGAGCUUGCUCCUCUGACGUUAGCGGCGGACGGGUGAGUAACACGUGGAUAACCUACCUAUAAGACUGGGAUAACUUCGGGAAACCGGAGCUAAUACCGGAUAAUAUAUUGAACCGCAUGGUUCAAUAGUGAAAGACGGUUUUGCUGUCACUUAUAGAUGGAUCCGCGCCGCAUUAGCUAGUUGGUAAGGUAACGGCUUACCAAGGCAACGAUGCGUAGCCGACCUGAGAGGGUGAUCGGCCACACUGGAACUGAGACACGGUCCAGACUCCUACGGGAGGCAGCAGUAGGGAAUCUUCCGCAAUGGGCGAAAGCCUGACGGAGCAACGCCGCGUGAGUGAUGAAGGUCUUCGGAUCGUAAAACUCUGUUAUUAGGGAAGAACAAAUGUGUAAGUAACUAUGCACGUCUUGACGGUACCUAAGCAGAAAACCACGGCUAACUACGU